GCUUAAUACAAAAGGGCAAUCUGAAAAAGUGCAAACAAAAGGCAGGUAUGAGACUGUGCCUAAUAAAAGGGCAAUCUGAAAAAGCGCAAACAAAAGGGAGGUAUGAGACUGUGCCUAAUAAAAUGGCAAUCUGAAAAAGCGCAAACAAAAGGGAGAUAUGAGACUGUGCCUAAUAAAAGGGCAAUCUGAAAAAGCGCAAACAAAAGGCAGGUAUGAGACUGUGCCUAAUAAAAAGGCAAUCUGAAAAAGCGCAAACAAAAGGCAGGUAUGAGACUGUGCCUAAUAAAAGGGCAAUCUGAAAAAGCACAAACAAAAGGCAGGUAUGAGACUGUGCCUAAUAAAAGGGCAAUCUGAAAAAGCGCAAACAAAAGGCAGGUAUGAG